CUGAACAAGUGUUAAAGUUUCAAAAGAGCAAUAAACAACAUUUAAAUUCGCCAUAUAAUCUUGUGAAAUUUUAAACAACAAAUAAUUCUUUUGCGAGAUUAAAAAUGGGACAUCAAAUAAUUAGCCAAAUACACUGACGUCAUCCGAGGUCAUCAAGAUGGCAGCGUUUGACAACUAGCCGGUUUUCUCAUAAGACUCAAUGCUAAUAUUUUCGGAAUUCAUUUAAAUUUGAGAGUGUGUCAACUAUGUUUUUAUAGUUUGGAGAAAAUGCCUAAAUUUUGUGCUGUUGUGGGUUGCGCGAAUCGAAGCACCAGAAAUGCGGACAAAUUUUAUUUUCCUUUCCCAGCAAUUAGCAACAAUAAAGGUAAAUAUAUACAGGAUGGGGAAAAAAGGCGGAAGUUUUGCUUAAAAGCCUUGAAACGAGUACAGUAACUACCUAUUAGAUUUACAGUUUCUAAUAAAUUACUACAUUGGUGCUCUUUUAGGUAAACCUGCAGAUUUGUCGGAUGUGGAUCACCCUGAUUAUGUUCCAUCACAAAAUUUAGGAUAUCAAAAUAAAUCCACUCAUAAUACUUGUAAUGUUAAAAGACACAGUCGUUUAAAAAAGAGAAAACUGAAUAAAUGCCUCUAGACUUUUGAA